rnacentral:lncRNA from 1 species
AUGCCCUGGGGGCCGGCACGGCGAGCGGCCCAGCACCCAGCUUACCCGGCGCGCCCAGCCCCCAGGCAGCCGGCGAGGUCCCGGGAGGCAUCCCGCGCACGGCGCCCCGCAGACCGCACGACAAAGCGGGGCGGCCGGGCUGGGUGCUCGUCGCUUCCUGUUUAUUCCUCCGCGAGGGUCACAGAAAUCCUGCCCACGCCCGCUUUUUUUUCGGGCUCGGGGCGCAGUCUAAGGGCCAGCGGCGCCCGGACCAGCGGGAGCCCCUGCAGCCCCUGCCCAGCGCAGCGCGCGCAACACCCUGAAGCGCGGGGUCCAGGGUCCUCCCACCCCGCAAACUCGGGCAGGUCCCGCACAACCUGCCCGCGGACCCCGCCUCCCGCACCGCGCCGCGGCGGCGCACAACCGCGUGGGGCACCAGGAAGCCGACGGCUCGGUGGGGGCCGCCGUCCCGCGCCCGCCCCCGGGAGCGCCGGGCGCCGCAGUGCCCAGCGCGACCCUGGAGAGGGCGCCGACGGCGGAGAUCGAGGACAUCCCGUUCCAGCGUCCCGUCCUCCCGCCCGCGCCCCCGCCCCGAACUUCGCCGGACGCCGCAGCACCCGGUCAGCCUUUACCUGCGGCCGCGGCUUUGGAGUGAGGCGGCGAGCGCCCGGGGUCGACGAGGGAGGGCGGGAUGCUUUAAGGGCCCGGAUCGGCCCGGGCUCCCCGCGUUCCCCGCCCCCUUCAACGCUCCCGGGACGCGCAGUCGGCCUGGCGGCGGCGGCUCCUCCCCGAUCCGCAGAGGAUCCCCGGCCUCGCUGGCCGGUCCGCAACGCCGGGCGGGGAAGCGGGAGACAGUGCCGUCUCCGCCUCCGCGCCGUCUGUCUCCCGCCGGCCCGCUCGCCGCGGCCGCGUCUGCCUCGCGGUCCGCCGGCCUCUCCACCCUCCCCAUCCCCCUCCAAGCGGGACCGGCGGCGGCCAGGCGGGGCGGGGGCGGGGUGGGCCGUCCGGACCCCGAGCGGGCAGUGCGGACCUCCGCGGACCGCGGCCACAGAGCAGGGAGAGCUGGCGGCCAGGCCGCGGGACCCCCGGCUGCGCACGAGGCUCGCCUCGGCCUGCCGGGGCGCGCGCCCACCGCCGGCCGGACGGGGAACUCCAUCCCGGAGCCGGAGACGGCGGCGGGGGCCGCGCACGCCCCUGGUAACCUGUUACCCCACACAGGCCCAGACGCACAGCAGGGCUGCAGGACCCUUCUAG